UACGGAGGGUGCAAGCGUUAUCCGGAUUCACUGGGUUAAAGGGUGCGUAGGUGGGUCUGUAAGUCCGUGGUGAAAUCUUUCGGCUUAACCGGAAAAGUGCCUUGGAUACUGGGGGUCUCGAGGGAGGCAGGGGCGGAGUGGAACUUCCGGUGGAGCGGUGAAAUGACGUUGAUAUCGGAAAGAACACCAACGGACGAAAGGCAACUCUGCUGGGCCGACACUGACACUGAGAGACGAAAGCUAGGGGAGCGAAUGGG
rnacentral:rRNA from 1 species